GUUCUUAUGGUGUAGUGGCUAUCACGUCUGCCUAACACGCAGAAGGUCGCCGGUUCGAAACCGGCUAAGAACA
rfam:Hypsibius dujardini strain Z151 scaffold0043, whole genome shotgun sequence.